AAAAAAAACAAAGAAACAAACAAACAAAAAAAACUUAACCUCUACCACCAGAUUGUUUGCACCAGAUUGCUUGGGCUCAAAUCUCAGCUCAACCACAUACAGCUGUGCAACUUUGACACAUUACUUAACCUCUCUGUGUCUCAGUUUCCUCACCUAUAAAACGGGGGAAUUGUCAUUAUACCUACUCAUAGGGUUGUUGUGGGUACUUAAUAUUUGUACAACACUUAGAACAGUGCUGACACACGUAUGUACUAAUUUGGUGUUGGUUAUUACCAUUUUCCUGGGAUAAAUAGAUUGGACAGAAUCAACUCAUCUGCAUUUCUUCACCAACAGCAGGGAAUCACUCAGUCCAUGGUUACCACUGCUCUGUUAAUCCCCAAGAAUUUUUAGGAGCCUCAGGGAGGACUGAGGCAAAGCCAGCAAUGCAGUUGAUGGAGUCCCUACCACGGAACAAGAUUUGUGGUCUUUGAUGGCAAAUCUUGGUCCUGAUUUUCUUCAUGCUUGUUGAUGAAGGUGGUCAAAACCUUAGGGAAUAGAUGUUCUAGAAUAUCCCCAAGAUGAGCUACAUCGGGAAGGCAUUAGCACUUAACAACAGCAAGUGCCCUCUGAGGGCUCACAUACAUCAUCUCACUUUGUCCUUCCAAGAGCCCUGUGGGGUAUUAGACUCAUUUUACUGAUGAGUAAAUGGAGUUCAGAGAAGUAAUUGUCCCAGAUUCUCAGAGCCAGUAAGUGGUAGAGGUAGAAUUCAAACUUAGGUCUUUUAAAUCUGAAAACUGAUGUCCUUAAUCCUGAUGUCAUAGCUCAGCAUUCUCAAAGGGUGGUCUUUUAUUUCCUAAGAUAAAAGGGGCACUUCCUAAGAUCCUUUUAAGGAACUGGCAAGGUUGAAACUAUUUCAGAAUAAUAAUACGAUAUGUCUGUGCAUCGUGGUGCACACCUGUAAUCUCAGCUACUCAGGAAGCUGAGGUGGGAAGAUUGCUUGAGCCCAGGAGUUUGAGCCCAGCCUGGGCAAUACAGCAAGAUUCCAUAAAAAAAUGAUUUUCUCACUGUGUUGAAAUUUGCACUAUGAGGCAAAAACAAUGGUAGGUAAAACUGUUGGAGCUUGACCGCAAAGGAAUGCUGUGGCUCAGUACUGAUUGUAUUUGUCAUUGUCACUCACUCACAGGGGAAAAAAAUGCUAGCCUCACUUAAAAAUGUCCCUGACGAAGCUGCAGAAAAAGAAUCAAUUUUAUGAAAUCUCAAACCUUAAGUGCUAGGUUUAUACAGUCCGUGUAACCAAAUGAGAACUAUGUUUUGAAUACCUCAGCCAGGGUAUGCUGGUGGUCUCAGGCAAAGGCACUUGUGCGACUGAGUUGCGAGCUGAACUAGCUGCUUUUUUCCAUGAAACACCAUAUUUACUUGAAGGAAUGACAGGUAAAUUAUGGUUAUUCAGGCUUGGGUAUUUGGCAGACAUUGUCUCAAAAAUGAGCUAAGUGAGGCUGUCACUUCAAAGAAAGCAACUGACAGUAUUUGUUGCCAAGGAUAAAAAUUCAAGGUUUCAAGUGAUAAUUAUGAUUUUGGAAAACUUGUGUGAGCCAAUGUGAUUUGUUUUUACACUGUAUAAUGAAAUGUGCCAAAUUUAGAAGACCUGCGUAACUCUACGAUACAAUACUUUCCAAAUGACCAAUGCGUGAUGUUACGCAAUUAUGCCUGGCUAAAAGACCCAUUCAACAUGCAGGAUUAGAAAAAUGGAUUUUCAUGUAGAAGAGCGUGAAAGGUUAAUAUGGUUUCAGAUUCCACAUUGCAACUAGCCUUUAAGAUACUACCACUUGUCGAGUUUUGGUGUAGUAUCAAAGAAUAUCCAUAAUUAUUUGAAA